rnacentral:lncRNA from 1 species
AGGAAUUCUAAGAAUAUAACAAAGAUCCAUAGCUAUAAAACCUUUUCAUAUUUCUUUUUAAUCAGGGGUUCAUUUAUGAAAUGCUUACUAAACAUUCAUGUCGUAUGAAUCAUCAGUCUAAACUCUGUGAGGAAUACAAACAUGAAAUAUCCAUAGACCUGCUUAUGGCAGGGUCCUACUUAGUUUCUUGGAUGGGUUCAGAUGUCAGGCUCUUUAUGUAGUUCAAGUGAUGGUAUUAAUAUUAAAAAAAAUCCAGUUUCUACCUUCACAGAAUUUAUAGUCUAGGAAGAAUGUAAAUGUUAAAUAAAGAAUUACAGGUAUGUAAAUUCACAGCCAGCUAAAAGUUCUAACCUUGCUUUAUAACUUAAAACCAGUUGAGCUCUUGUCCCUCCCUCCCCAUCAGACAGCCAGCAUCCAGUAAGAAUAAGUUCCUUGCUUUUCAUUCCUCCCCCUUUGUUUCAUUCUUUCUCCUAUCUUAUUUCAUUCUCCUUUUCACUUAAUAUUUAUUUAUGGAGUGUCUCCUAUGUGUCCAGUAUUGCAUCGAGCAGGAAUAUCAAUGAAGCAAGAUACAAAGUGAAACUAUGUCCACUAGUGCCAUUCUUGGAGCACCUGAUUGUCCCAGGGUAGGCUUUCCCUUCAGAGCUCCUGCAGGGUUUGAAGAGGAAGACCGCAGGGCAAAGUGCCCUUCUCAUGACAGGAUAUUGCUGUUCUCAUCACAACUUUGGGCUCUGCUAUGAUAGAAGAGCUACACUAUAAUGGUUCUGAAGUCAGAUGGCCUGACCUCAUACCCUGGCCCAACUACCUAUACACACAUGACCUCAGGCAAGUCCAUUUUUCUCUCCAAAUCUUAGAUGCUUUAUUCGUAGACUGGAUUAACA